UACGGGGGGAGCAAGCGUUGUUCGGAUUUACUGGGCGUAAAGGGCGCGUAGGCGGCCACCGCAAGUCGGUUGUGAAAUCUCUGGGCUUAACCCAGAAAGGUCAACCGAUACUGCGGGGCUAGAGUGCAGAAGGGGCAACUGGAAUUCUCGGUGUAGCGGUGAAAUGCGUAGAUAUCGAGAGGAACACCUGCGGCGAAGGCGGCCCUCUGGACCAGCACUGACGCUGAGGCACGAAAGCGUGGGGAGCAAACAGG
rnacentral:rRNA from 1 species